AUUGAACGCUGGCGGCAGGCCUAACACAUGCAAGUCGAGCGAGCGGCGGACGGGUGAGUAAUGUCUGGGAAACUGCCUGAUGGAGGGGGAUAACUACUGGAAACGGUAGCUAAUACCGCAUACCAUCAGAUGUGCCCAGAUGGGAUUAGCUGGUGGGUGGGGUAAUGGCUCACCUAGGCGACGAUCCCUAGCUGGUCUGAGAGGAUGACCAGCAACAGUGGAAUUGAGACACGGUCCAGACACCUACGGGAGGCACCAGUGGGGAAUAUGGCACAAUGGGCGCAAGCCUGAUGCAGCCAGGCCGCGUGGAUGAAGAAGGCCUUGGGGUUGUAAAGACCUUUCAGCGGGGAGGCGUGAACAGCAGAAGAAGCACCGGCUAACUCCGUGCCAGCCGCCGCGGUAAUAC
rnacentral:rRNA from 1 species